rnacentral:rRNA from 1 species
CUUGGUCAUUUAGAGGAAGUAAAAGUCGUAACAAGGUUUCCGUAGGUGAACCUGCGGAAGGAUCAUUACCAAUCUUUAGUGAGCCUUGGCUUUGUCCAUGGUUCGCAAAACUUGUAUUUAAAACCCGCUCAUAAAUUUUUAAAACAAACUUUUAUUAUUAUAAUAAAGAUCACUUUCAACAACGGAUCUCUUGGCUCUCGCAUCGAUGAAGAACGUAGCGAAGUGCGAUAAGUAGUGUGAAUUGCAGAAUUCCGUGGAUCAUCGAAUCUUUGAACGCAAAUUGCACUCUCUGGUAUUCCGGAGAGUAUGCCUGUUUGAGGGUUGGUUUAAAUAACAAUCGAUAUGUUGCUUUGUGACAUUUCGGAGUUGGAUCAUCUUAAUCUUACUUUAAGGGACCUAAAAUUGACGUUCUUGCGCAUCUUGACGUGUAUAAUUUUUUUUAUCUUGUCACCGGAUGCCCAGGUAUUUAUUAGGUGUGACUAUGCUAAGUGGUUUCAUGCCUAUAGGAAUCUUGAUUUCAACCUCAAAUCAGGUAAGGAUACCCGCUGAACUUAAGCAUAUCAAUAAGCGGAGGAAAAGAAAAUAACAAUGAUUCCCCUAGUAACUGCGAGUGAAGAGGGAUAAGCUCAAAUUUUAAAUCUGUUGGGUUCACCUAACCGAGUUGUAAUUUGAAGAAGCGUUUUCGCGUGUUUUGAUCAGCCCAAGUCUUUUGGAAUGGGGCAUCAUGGAGGGUGAGAAUCCCGUUUGGUUGAUCAAUUUGCGUAUGUGAUACGUUUUCAAAGAGUCAAGUUGUUUGGGAUUGCAGCUUAAAAUGGGAGGUAAAUUUCUCCUAAGGCUAAAUAUUGGCGAGAGACCGAUAGCGAACAAGUACCGUGAGGGAAAGAUGAAAAGUAUUUUGAAAAGAAAGUCAAAUAGUACGUGAAAUUGUUGAAAGGGAAACGAUUGAAGUCAGUCGUACCGAUGAGCAUUCAGCCUUUUGGGUGCGAUUAUGUGGUACAUGGAAAGAUUUCGUGAAUCGCAUAUUUGUGCAUUUUGGGUGUAUUUGCUCGUAUGGUAUGUUAACAUCUAUUUUGGUCGUCAUAAAAUGACGGGAGGAAUGUAGCUUCUCCGGAAGUGUUUUAUAGCCUCUGGUAGAUGUGAUGAUUGAGAUUGAGGAUUGCAACGAAUACCCUCUGGGCUACCUGUCUGAUUUCUGGUCGUCGCUUUGGUGCUGAAAGCGAGCUUAUGGUUUCAAAGUUAGGUGGCCAAAAGGUUAGAACGGGUUAAAUUCGUUAAGGAUGUUGACGUAAUGGCUUUAAACGACCCGUCUUGAAACACGGACC